CCCCUCUCAGAAUCGCAACUGGAGAGUUUCCAAUACACUACCAGCCUCGGCUAGAGGAGGCGAUUCAAGCAGAGGCAUACCCAUUCCAUUCCUAGCUUGGUCAGUGGCUAGCGAGUGGAAGACAAUUUACUACAAGU